CUGUAUGUCUUUUUUGUAUCUUCCGAAAAUUUUACACUACUAUUGAAGUAGCUCAUCCUCGAUCAUCAUAUGAUGUUAUGACUUUUGUUUUUCUGUUAAUACCUUUGAUUCGCAAACACGAGAAUUGUCGUCCUUCAAAUGUUAACACAACUAAUUGUGCACUAUUUUUGGGGUUGAGUAGAUCUAAAGAAAAAUCUCGUAUAGUCAUAACCUGCAUUUUUGCACUGAAAGCAAAGGUACAGAUGUUGCAGAACAUAAUAGAAUCAAGAUUGAGACAUUAGGAGUGUAACAUAAACAGAAAAGAUACAAACAUAAGAAAUGCAACACUUAAUGUUCUUCUACUUGUGCUCUUCUGAUGUGACUUCUUCUGCUUUAUGUAAAUCUACUGCAUUGCCUUGAUUCAAAGAACACCUUCCUUUUGACCUGGGCUUGAAUUUGCUUAUUCUGUCACAUAAACAAAUACUGUGAAUUAGUCACAUUCUUUACAACUUCAGUUUAAUUUAGGGGCUAACACCUUAAUUAGUUUACAAAGACACAAGUCAUAGCUGCACGAGAAUUGUCCUCAAUUGAACAAAAGUUGUCUAACGUUCUAAUGCAAGAAGUGUUUGCUGGAGAUGACGCAGACGCAACUCCUGUAGAAACUACAACCGCUAUUUUGGGAGAGUAAAUGUAAAGACAGAUCUCGUAUAGCUAUGACUUGUGUUUUUGAACUGAAAUCAAGGUACAAAAUGCAGUAACAUCAUAAUUGACUCUAGCAGUGUAACAUAAACAGACUAAGUUAUAAACAUAACACAUGCAACACUUAAACUUUCUACUGGUACUAGAUGCCAUAGAGUGAUGUUAGCAAACUAGGCACCAACAACAACAACAACUCAGUAUAAUUCUACUAGUGGGGUCUGGGGAGGGUAGCGUGUACGCAGACCUUACCCCUUCCCACUAGUGGGGUCUGGGGAGGGUAGUGUGUACGCAGACCUUACCCCUACCCUGGGGUAGAGUGGCUGUUUUCGAUAGACCCUCGGCUCCCUCCCUUCAAGAACUCUCCAUCUUGUUUUUGGGGUGACUCGAACUCACAACCUCUUGGUUGGAAGUGAAGGGUGCUCACCACUAAAGCAACUCACAACACAAAAUUGCUUUAACAUGAGUUAGG
rnacentral:lncRNA from 1 species